UACGUAGGGUGCGAGCGUUAAUCGGAAUUACUGGGCGUAAAGUGUGUGCAGGUGGCCGCGCAAGUCGAGUGUGAAAUCCCCGAGCUUAACUUGGGAAUUGCGCUCGAAACUACGUGGCUCGAGUGUGGCAGAGGAAGGUGGAAUUCCACGUGUAGCGGUGAAAUGCGUAGAGAUGUGGAGGAACACCGAUGGCGAAGGCAGCCUUCUGGGCCAACACUGACGCUCAUGCACGAAAGCGUGGGGAGCAAACAGG
rnacentral:rRNA from 1 species